rnacentral:rRNA from 1 species
CCUACGGGGGGCUGCAGUGAGGAAUAUUGGGCAAUGGGCGCAAGCCUGACCCAGCGACGCCGCGUGCAGGAGGAAGUCCUUCGGGAUGUAAACUGCUGUCAGGGGCUAGCAAGCAAAGGGUGUUAACAGCAUCCGGCGUUGAGCCGCCCCAGAGGAAGCCUCGACUAACUCUGUGCCAGCAGUCGCGGUAAGACAGAGGAGGCAAGCGUUGUUCGGAAUCACUGGGCUUAAAGCGCGUGUAGGCGGCGGCGCAAGUGUCGUGUGAAAUCCCACGGCUCAACCGUGGAACUGCACGGCAAACUACGUCGCUUGAGGUUGGUAGAGGUGCCUGGAACUCUCGGUGGAGCGGUGAAAUGCGUUGAUAUCGAGAGGAACGCCGGAAGCGAAAGCGGGGCACUGGGCCGAUUCUGACGCUGAGACGCGAAAGCGUGGGGAGCAAACAGGCUUAGAUACCCGUGUAGUC